rnacentral:rRNA from 1 species
UGAAACAUCUCAGUACCCGGAGGAAAGGACAUCAACCGAGACUCCCGUAGUAGUGGCGAGCGAACCGGGACCAGGCCAGUGCUCUUGUGAAAUAAAGUCGAACGGAAUGGAAAGUCCGGCCAUAGCGGGUGACAGCCCCGUAGACGUCAAACAGCAAGAGACUCGAGUAGGGCGGGACACGUGAAAUCCUGUCUGAACAUGGGGGGACCACCCUCCAAGCCUAAGUACUCCUCUACGACCGAUAGUGAACAAGUACCGUGAGGGAAAGGUGAAAAGCACCCCGACAAGGGGAGUGAAACAGAUCCUGAAAUCGGAAGCCUACAAGCAGUCGGAGCCGCCAAGCGCGGUGACGGCGUACCUUUUGUAUAAUGGGUCAGCGACUUCAUGUGUCGAGCAAGCUUAAGCCGUUAGGUGUAGGCGCAGCGAAAGCGAGUCUGAAUAGGGCGCUAAGUUCGACGUAUGACGACCCGAAACCAGGUGAUCUAUCCAUGAGCAGGAUGAAGGUAAGGUAACACUUACUGGAGGUCCGAACCCGUGAAUGUUGAAAAAUUCUGGGAUGACUUGUGGAUAGGGGUGAAAGGCCAAUCAAACCUGGACAUAGCUGGUUCUCCGCGAAAUCUAUUUAGGUAGAGCGUCCGACGAAUACCCUGGGGGGUAGAGCACUGGAUGGUUGCGGGCUGCGCGAGCGGUACCAAUACUAACCAAACUCCGAAUACCCAGGAGUACUAUCGGGCAGACACACGGCGGGUGCUAACGUCCGUCGUGAAAAGGGAAACAACCCUAACCAUCAUCUAAGGCCCCCAAGUCAUGGCUAAGUGGGAAACGAUGUGGGAUUGCUUUGACAAUCAGGAGGUUGGCUUAGAAGCAGCCAUCCUUUAAAGAAAGCGUAACAGCUCACUGAUCAAGCGAUCCUGCGCGGAAAAUGUAACGGGGCUAAAGCCAUGCGCCGAAGAUAUGGGUUUGCAGUUUACUGCAAGCGGUAGCGGAGCGUUCCGUAAGCCUGUGAAGGUCAACUGUGAGGUUGGCUGGAGGUAUCGGAAGUGAGAAUGCUGACAUGAGUAACGAUAAACAGUGUGAGAAACACUGUCGCCGAAAGACCAAGGGUUCCUGCGUAAAGCUAAUCUGCGCAGGGUUAGUCGGCCCCUAAGGCGAGGCUGAAAAGCGUAGUCGAUGGGAAGCAGGUAAAUAUUCCUGCACCAGCUGGAAGUGACGGAUGGCAUAAGUCGUCGGGGCUUAUUGGAUUGUUCCCGGCGGUGGCGUUGUCCCUGGAAAUAACUCCAGCAGAGACCGUACCCGAAACCGACACAGGUGGUCAGGUAGAGUAUACCAAGGCGCUUGAGAGAACUGUGCUGAAGGAACUCGGCAAAUUGCACGCGUAACUUCGGAAUAAGCGUGACUCACCCUGGGCAACCAGGACUGAGUGGCACAAGCCAGGGGGUAGCGACUGUUUAGCAAAAACAUAGGGCUCUGCGAAGCAUCAAUGCGACGUAUAGGGUCUGACGCCUGCCCGGUGCCUGAAGGUUAAAGGGAGGAGUGAAAGCUCCGAACUGAAGCCCAGGUAAACGGCGGCCGUAACUAUAACGGUCCUAAGGUAGCGAAAUUCCUUGUCGGG